rnacentral:lncRNA from 1 species
UUGGUGCUAGCUCCAGUGUCCCGGGUUGAGGGCAGGCACACCUAAAGUAAAGGUAGAAAGUGAGAGAAGAACUGAAAAAGGGAGGCCAAGUUGGAAAACUCGAGAAAGACAAUAGCAGGCCUGGGGACUCAAUUUGGAAAAUGAUAGGAAGUAAAAUGUCCUUUGAUUCUCACCAGGAUUCAACUCAAAAUCACAGUAAACAUUUUAACAGGAGUCUUAUACAUAGUGCUGAGGGAGGAAAUGGCAGUACAGUACAAAGAGGGACCCAGGAAAUAAAGGGGUCUUCUUUUCAUAGCAGUAGUCUGUCAGUCUUUUCUGGCAGGAAUUGAGAUUCUGAGGAAGCAGUUAAUAUGUCUGGUGCAAUAAAUGUGACUUGGA